CACACACACCCAGACACACUGUACUUAUGCCACCAAGUUCUCCCCUCACACGCGAGCAACAAGCAAAGCAACGAGAGCGAGAGGCCUGUAGCAUCGGAGACGACAACGCACGCCGAGCGGCUCACGAACAAAGUCCCCCCCCCUCGGGUAAAAAGACGACAUACAGAGAGACGGUAUGAUACACAAGCGCGCACGCCACUGUUUGACUUGCAUGCCAGCAUUUUUUCAUUUUCUUUUUGCGUUUCCAUUCAUCGAUAAUAUUAUUCCCCGCUCACACGCAAGGUAGAGAGAGGGCGAUACGACGUGCCAACCUAUCUUGCUCACUCCACGGGUUGUUGCGCGCGGCACGACGUAGUUUGUAUCAGCGAUGGGUUGCCCUUCUAUCUCCGCACACACACAUACACAUGCACUACACAGCAUAGACGGCGAAGUACAGGAGAUAGAGAAGCGUUGGAAGUAACAGAAAGCACAGCAGUAGAGUGAUAAAGGGCGUGCAGGAGGAAGGAAGGAGGGAGGCGCCUGACCCGUCUCUCUUUUUGAUCUGCACCAGCUCCCGAUUCCUGUCGAGGCAUAUCUCAUCUCUUGCGUUCUCAUCUAUAGCAGAAGCUUGAGAGAGAAUUCAACCACUUUCCCAGCCAAUCUCCUGCAGAAGUGGCCGCGAUGCGUGGGGAAGAACUAUCCCGUCGGUGUACUGUCCGACUUGUACAGCCUUUCGUUGAUAGUGACGAUGGUGGGGGUGACGAUUUGGCAUUCCGGGCAGCGGGGACGGCAGUGCGGUCUACUACGCCGAGGGACCCGCUGGCAUCGAGUUGCACAGCGUCGCAGCUGACCCCAAUUCAGCUACCGAGAUCUCGUGUCAGUGCUGGCGCCGACCACGCACCAUCCCUUAGCACAUCACAGACACUGCCGUCUUUUGCGUCUUCACCGGAGGUGCGGCCGUCUUUCUCCACGCGCGCCGGGGGUCCAAGUGGCUCGAACCCGGCACCCCGUGUGCUCUCCGUUUCCUCUCCACACGGCCACCGUCCGCACGAUGGAGGGGUGCCAUCCGUCUCCUCUUCCGGUCAGCCGGUGUCGUCGUCCGUGGAUCGGCUGGCGGCACUGUAUCAGCAAUUUCAGAUGUCUCAGGGGAGGGACUCGCAUGCGCCGCGGAGGGGCACCGCCGGCAGGUCGCAUGAGGCAGUCACCCCCACGCUGGCCAGGCAAGAGGCGCCUGCUACGCCUGUACGCUUGUCUCGGCAGACCUCAAAGGGGGCUGCGAGUGGAGAUAGUGGAGCGACUGACAAAGAAAAGACAAACCGCAUUGCUCCCGGCGGUAGCUCGUCAACACCGACCCGGCUGCCGCGGGCUGCGUCCAAAGGCGGUGAGGCCCACGUCGCGCUGGUGCGCGAGGAUCUUUUGAAGGCGGAAGGCGGAAAUUCACCGGCACGGCGGACUCCAGCGCCUCUUCGCACGACAACCUCCGCCUCUGUGAAGACGUCUACUCCCUCUCAACAAGGUGCCGAAGCGCCGCCACUAUCCUCGCGUUCGAAGCCAACCAGGGCGACUGUGGCGCUGCCGUCCAGCUUGUCUGCUGCGGGCAUCCCGGCAUUGAUGCACAUUGCUGCUCGUGUGUGGGCAGCGCUGGGAUUCUUCGAAAUGCGCUGGGAAGAGAGAGCGGAGGAGGUGCCGCCCUAUGCUACAGGGCCGUCCAGCCCCGAAGAUGUCGAGUCGUUUCUGUGGGGGCUGGAAGAGUACUUGAGCUUUUACCGCGCGGACUCGCCGGGCCCAUCGGCGGUGGUGCUGGUAGAGGUCACGGCGCUCCUCCGCAACGGGCUGUGGCGCGUUCUCUUCAACGCCGUCUUCUACUGCCUCACCGUCCUUGACAAGCACCGACGUCGGCGCGGCCCGCUCUCAUGCAGGGAGGCUGAGGUUCAAACUGGUGGCGCGGAGGACACGUACGAGGUGGUGUACUCGUCGUCGUCAGAUGCGGAGGGCGAGGAUGCAAAGGAGGCCUCGCUGAAUCGUGAAGCGCCGGUACGGUUGGUGUGGAAGUACCCGGGUGAGUCAGACGAGGAGCGCCUGGCGCGCUGCGUGCGGGAUCCUUUGCCACCUAACAGCCCCCUGUGGUCUGGAUCGCCCUCCGCCGCCUGGGAGCGAGAGGCAGACUGCGCUAGUAUGCUGCGCAGUGAUCUCCACGGUAUCCAGCGACCGUCAUCUCGAUGCCCGCUCGAUGAGGCCUAUGGCGGCCGUCUGCGCACCGCCUUGCCCAUCACUGACUGGUACUUGGUGUUGCGCUGCCUGGCCCAGGUGGGGUAUCGGCGGGACGUCUUCUACCUGCAAACACCAUUCGACGCGUCGCCGCAGGAGCUCAUCCUCGCUCUGCUAUGGUUGACGCAGCGGUACAAGAUGCUAGCAGUCGCUGAGUACGUGGAGUUGAACCGCCGGUACGCCUUCUUACUUCAAUACCACGUCAAUGACGCGUUUCUGUACGGUUCUGCGGGGACCGGAGGCUCACCACGGCCCGCGUGCACCACAGCGCGUGAGAGACUUCUCUAUCACCUGUCACAUGCCUCAGCUUGGCCACCCGUGAGCUUUGACGAGAACGCGACGAUCGCCGUGCGUCUUGCCCAGCUCGAGCGUUGCUUAGGCAAGGCGACUUCUUCUGGUGGUCGUGGCGCUUCAGCGCAGCUGUGUGUGCCCACCGCUCCUUCUGCAGCGACGCUGCACGUGCGGCGCCUCAUGGCGGUGCGGCGGCUCCUCGGACUCUCCUUCAAUCGACUCCACCAGGCUUUGCAGCGUCAGGCUGAGCAGGUCACCCUCCUUGGUCUCCAUUCCCCACUCGAUGCGCAGCUGUGCCGUGAGCAGCAUCACGCCCUGUACGAGGAAGUCACUGCAGGUCUCGCCCACGUGCAGGCAACGCCGCAGCGGCUGCAGACGGCGGCCGACAACCUCGCCAAGGCAGGCUCACUUGUGGCGUUUCUUCUGCGGUACGAGGAGUCAACAAUGUCCGCGGAGGAGGUGCUUUUGGGACUGGAGGAGGACGACGCGACGUGGCUGUCUCACGACGACCCAGCAGGAGGAGACGCGAGCGACGCGGAGGCGACGCUGGCGAGAGGGAAGCGCAAAGAAGCAGAAGCCGAUCGGUGGCGCCGUGCGGUGCGGCGUGGCAAGCUGCCCGUCUCGCAGUCAGCGCUAGAGGACGCCUCUGCAGCGCUCGCAACGUCAGCAGCCUCGCUCGCUCAAGCCAUAGCGAAAUUUCGAGCCGCCCACGUGAGAGCCACUCUCACUGAGACGUGGAGGCGACUGCUGCGGCGCAGUCACAUCGCGCCGCAGACGGUUCCGCAGGAGAGCCUGCGCUUCUUGCUGGAUACCGAGGCGCAGCAGGUGCAGGAAGCCCGCGUGCGAGAGAACAUGCGAUAUCGCUACUCUCUGCAAGCAGCCUUGGCUGCUGAGCUAGCGGUGCUUGGGUAUCAGACUCAGCAGCGGCGCCAUCACAGUCAUUCCCACAGUCCUCUGCGGGGCGGGGACGGUGGCGCUGUGAGCUCAACGAAUUUGGCGGCAGAGACGCGGACUGUAGAUGACACCAAGGACGUCGAGGCUCGACCUGUGCAAGUGGCGCUGCCGCCGCUGGACCUCGUCACCAACGCCGGCAUCGCUUUUGCGCAGCUGCGGUCUGAGGAGGCGGUCUAUGGCUCGGUUACGCUGGGAAGCGCGGAGCUACAGCUGACGGAAGUUGGUGAUCCAGUGGCAGGGUCGACCACCUCGGCGCGCUUGGAGCUGGAGCGUCUGCAGGCCUGGGAGGACAAGCUGGAUGCCCAGCUAAGAGUACCGGCGGAAACGACCGCUCGCAUGGGGUACUGCAUGGGACUCUUGCACGCGCUGUACUAUAAGUACGGCCUACGUAUUGCCACACCCGUCGCACAGAAACCCACCAGCCAGCUGCUGCCGGGUAGCAAGUGAAAGUCCAUCUUGUGGGUGAGGUGGAUGCCUGUCCGCAUACGCAGACAGGUGCAUACAUAUACGUGUGUGUGCCAAUGUAAAUGCAUGUAUGGCAUGAAAGUGACAAUGCGCGUGCGCCUAGUAAGCAGAGGAGACGCGUAACGGAGCAGGUACGACACACGCCCACGCAUACGUGCGCACGCCCAUGGACAAAAACGUUAGCGGUGACGCAGAAGAGGCGUCACACGCUCCACUCUCCCGCUCAACGAAAAAGGGAACGACAACAUUACACAACUCACUUGAACGUGUCCACGUCGCUAUCGCACAACACGAGGCCGAACGCCUGUCUACUCCUCCUCCGUCACAGACCCAACCUCGCGUGGGCCGAUGGCAGCCGUAGACACACACGCGCCACAACAACGCGCUGACCCAGCCAUCGGAGAGCACGGCCCCCACCCACGCCCACAGCCCACGCUUCGCGGGGCGCCGCGCAGCCGCGCCCACCAUGCCGGCCGCCACCGGGCGCAUCCCCCUCGCGGUGGCGCUCGGGCACCCCACCCACACCAGUGGGCGGUGUGAGGGCCGGGCCGGGUGGGAGACGCCCGGGUCACGAUGACGCUCUGCCCAUCAUGUGGAUGGAUACAGAUCUGCCUCGCUGUCGCGGGCCACUCCGAUGCAACGUCAUCCAGGACGCCACCGCCGGCACCAGCAGCGACACAUCGCUCUGAACCCACCCCCCUGCGGCGUAGGUACCUGACCCCGUUACCACCAGAAGCGGCUCGGCACUUGGCAGGGGGUGGGGGAGGGGGCUGCUUGGCUUUUCCCACGGAGAGAAAGUGGGUGCACUGGUCCCUGAGGUGCCACGCGCUGAGAGGGGUGUGCCCCUCCCCUGUUAUCAGGUGGGCAUUAGUAGGAGAAUAGGCGUACACAAAGUUUUUGCUGGUCAAGGUACGUGGAGAGGCGCAGUACAUGAUGCCGCCGCUUCUUGUGUUCACCAACAUUGGGACCACUGACAAGACUAAACUUGCUCAUCCGCAGCUGUUGCGUCUGAGAAGGGACUCUUCUAGCCCAAAACUUCUCCUGUAACUGAGGGCGAUGAAGGGAGAGGGUGAGAUUGCCCUGGAGAAAGCGUGCUCCGCCUGCAAAGCAUCAGCUCAGUGCAUCUGCGAGCCUUCGCCGUCCUCUCCCCAUCUUAUCCUUCCCUGUUCUCAUGCAUCCUUACCUUGUGCUGUCCCUCUUUCCCUCUUUCCGCUGUCGUUCUCCUCUCCGGUCACCACCACCGCUGGCGCUGCAG
rnacentral:misc_RNA from 1 species